rnacentral:lncRNA from 1 species
GAGUUGGAGCAGACUUCUUCCAUAUCUAUUCCUCUUUAGGAAUGCGGGUCGACUUCCUUCUUUGACGGAGCCUCAACUUCAGCACCAUGAGAGCAAAAGACAGCAUGUCUCAGCCAAGAGGGUGUGAGGAACUAAGUUCUAAAGAUAAGAAGGUGGGGGAAGAAGCUUUGAGGUGGAGAAGAAGAAGAAAAAUAGAAAUUUUUACUUGGUGAAGAAAGGAUUUUGGGGCUUGAAAGAAGUUUCAAAAUCAAGGGAUUUCAGCACAUAAGAGUUAAUAGAGGAAACAUAUUCCUGAUUCAAGAUGGAAUUCCAAGAAUUUGAGGGAGGUAAAGGCUAGACCCUAGAAUUUUCUAGAGGAAGAGUGGGUUCCAUAGUGAGAAAAUGAAGAAGAGAGGUGGUUUUGGUGAAAAGGGCGGCCCAUGGAGUGCAAAAAUUGGGGUUUUUCCACUAGAAAAAUAGGGCAUCCUAUUUGCCCUAGGGAGAUGACCAAAUUGCCCUUAUGGGGCACUCCUUUCUUAUGGGACAAUCUACAGGUCGCCCCAUUUAGGUAGGUAGGCCAAAACUCAUCCAAAAUUUUUUUUUUUUGAAAAAAAGAGGAAAGAUGGGGAAUUCAAGGA